rnacentral:tRNA from 1 species
AGGGGAUUAGCUCAGAUGGUAGAGUGCUCGCAGCAUGCUUAGAGGUAGUGGGAUCGAUGCCCGCAUCCUCCA